rnacentral:tRNA from 1 species
GAGGGUAUAGCUUAAGUGAUAGAGUGCAUGCUUAGCAAGCAUGAGGUCCUGGGUUCAAUCCCCAGUACCAUCA